CAAGUCGAACGGGACUGGGGGCAACUCCAGUUCAGUGGCGGACGGGUGCGUAACACGUGAGGAACAUGACUUUCGGCGGGGGAUAGCCGGCCCAACGGCCGGGUAAUACCGCGUACGACCUCUCGGGGACAUCCCCGGUUGGUGAAAGCAGCAAUGCACCGAAAGAGUGCCUCGCGGCCUAUCAGCUAGUUGGUGAGGUAAUGGCUCACCAAGGCGACGACGGGUAGCUGGUCUGAGAGGAUGGCCAGCCACAUUGGGACUGAGACACGGCCCAGACCCCUACGGGAGGCAGCAGUGGGGAAUAUUGCGCAAUGGGCGAAAGCCUGACGCAGCGACGCCGCGUGUGGGAUGACGGCCUUCGGGUCGUAAACCACUGUCGGGAGGGACGAAUGCGCCGCAAGGCGAGUGACGGUACCUCCAAAGGAAGCACCGGCUAACUCCGUGCCAGCAGCCGCGGUAAUACGGAGGGUGCGAGCGUUGUCCGGAAUCACUGGGCGUAAAGGGCGCGUAGGCGGCCUGGUAAGUAGGGGGUGAAAUCCUGCGGCUUAACCGCAGGGCUGCCUUCUAAACUGUCAGGCUCGAGCACGGUAGAGGCAGAUGGAAUUCCCGGUGUAGCGGUGGAAUGCGUAGAGAUCGGGAAGAACAUCAGUGGCGAAGGCGGUCUGCCGGGCCGUUGCUGACGCUGAGGCGCGACAGCGUGGGGAGCAAACAGGAUUAGAUACCCUGGUAGUCCACGCCGUAAACGAUGGGCACUAGGCGUCGGGGGGAGCGACCCUCCCGGUGCCGUCGCUAACGCAGUAAGUGCCCCGCCUGGGGAGUAC
rnacentral:rRNA from 1 species